GCAGUCUCUACAUGGUCCAUC
rnacentral:piRNA from 1 species